GAUGAACGCUGGCGGCGUGCCUAAUACAUGCCAGUCGAGCGAACAGACGAGGAGCUUGCUCCUCUGACGUUAGCGGCGGACGGGUGAGUAACACGUGGAUAACCUACCUAUAAGACUGGGAUAACUUCGGGAAACCGGAGCUAAUACCGGAUAAUAUAUUGAACCGCAUGGUUCAAUAGUGAAAGACGGUUUUGCUGUCACUUAUAGAUGGAUCCGCGCCGCAUUAGCUAGUUGGUAAGGUAACGGCUUACCAAGGCAACGAUGCGUAGCCGACCUGAGAGGGUGCGCGGCCAAACGGGAACUGAGACACGGCCCAGACCCAUACGGGAGGCAGCAGUAGGGAAUCUCCCAAAAGGGGCGAAAGCCUGACGGAGCAACGCCGGGUGAGUGAUGAAGGUCUUCGGACGGAAAAACUGUUUUAUGAGGGAAGAAAAAAUGUGAAAGUAACUAUGCGCGUCUUGAGGGUACCUAAUCAGAAAGCCACGGCAAACUCCGGG
rnacentral:rRNA from 1 species